GCUGCUCAGUGUUUGUGUCUGUGCUGCGUUUGUGAGCUGCAACGCUCACGGUAAAGGUCUACAGCUUCACUCCCGAAGCCAGCGAGACUGUAAAUCCACUGGGAGGGGCAAAGAACUCUGGACGUGCUGCAUUUUUAGGAGCUGUGACACUCACCGCGGAGGUUUGCAGUUUCACUCCUGAAAUCAGUGUAGACCACGAACGCACCAGAAGGAACAAACUCCAGACACACCGUUUUUAGGUAACCGUAACAUGUACCGCGAGGGUCUGCGGCUUCAUUCUUGAAGACGAGACUAAGAACCCACCAACUUCUGGACACAAAACCACCCCAAAAAGUGAGUUUCUAAAGGAGAAGCUAAAAAUAAAGACCACGAAAGUGUUGCCCAUGGUGAUAGCUCCAGACGUCCGGAGACGGUGUUCAGCGCUGCUGCAGGAGAGGUUGGCAAAACUCCACAAGGUCACCAGCACACCUUGAUGGGGAGGCUGCAGGGAAACACACAACCUCAUGCUUUGCUGCUGGGAUGCAAACAGCACAGCCCCUGCGGGAAGAAGCUCAGAGAUGCCCGGAAAGACCUGUGUGCAUUCACAACUGCAUCCUUCAAUUCCACUUCUAAGCAGCUACCUUAAAGUCACAAAAUAUCAGAAAAUGGAUGUUCAAGGUCAUUCAACGUAACCCUGCUUUUAAUACCUACAGACUUUUUUUUUAACCAAAGGAUAUAUCCUGGCAAAAUAUAUUAUGUAUAUAUAUAACUAAAUGGAACCUCUGAGAUGAAAAAUACCUUUGAAAUGAAAAAUUCAUAAUAUGAGCUUAGCAGCAGUUUGAAAACUGCAGAAAAAUACCAGUGAACUUGAAUACAAGCAUUAGAAAGUAUUCAAACCUAAGCACGGAGACGGGAGAAAAGUUUCAACAUAAACAGAACCUCACUGACAUUGAAACAGCAUCAAGCAGCUCAUAUACAUAUAACUGGAGUCCCAAAAGGAAGAGGCAGGCAGAGAAAUAUUUGAAGAAACCUUCACUGCAACAUUUUCAGACUUGAAUCUCACAGAUUGAUAAGCUCAGUAAGCCCCAAGCAGGACAGACAAGGCAAAAGCGCCAGACAAAUACACACAAAACACAAAGAAACACAGAAGAACAGCUGCCAAUCUGUCAUCAGAAGCAAUGCAAGUCAGAAGACAGUGGACUGAACGAUGUGAUUUAACAUGACAGAAGAAAAAGUGCCCAUCAACCUAGAGAAUUAGUGAAAAUAUCUUUCAAAAAACGAGGGCAAAUUAAGGAUAUUUCCAUACAAAUGACAAUUGGUAGAAUCCAUUUUCAGUAGAUCUGCAUAACACAAAAUGCUAAAGGAAGUUAUUGAGGCUAAAGGGUAUAUAUCAGCUGUAUUUCACGUGACAGUGAAAUGUAUGACAAUAAAGAAAGGAAUAGAACAGAAAUGGAACGUUACUGUUUAAAGUCAUUAAAAUCCACAUGAAGGGUUAUAAUAUCUGGAAGUAGACUAGCUUAAGUUUAAGCUGCAAAUUGACAAUUGUAGAAAAAAACACUGAACAAGUAAAGCAAAAAGAUCUAGCUGAAAAGCCAAUAAGAAGACAUAUUUGAAUCCAAAAAAGAUAAAUUUAUAAUUCUAAAAGCAGGAAGAAAAAAGAGGAAAAAGAACAAAGAAUGAAUAGGACAAAUAAGAAAACAUUGAUAAUUAAAUUUAAAUGAUGUAACACUCUAAUUAAAUGGCAGAGAUUGUUGAUUGAAAUACAGAACUAACUCUAAGCCGCCUACAAGAAACCCGUUUUAAAUAUAAAUACACAGAUAGGUUAAGGCCAAGCAUGGUGGCUCAUGCCUGUAAUCUCAGCACUUUGGGAGGCUGAGGUGGGAGGAUUGCUUGAGUCCAGGAGUUCAAGACCAGCCUGGGAAACAGGGUGGAACUCCAUCUCUAUAAGAAAUACAAAUAUUGCCUGGGUGUGGUGGUGAACCCCUGUGGUCCCAGCUACUUGGGAGGCUGAGGUGGGAGGAUUGCUUGAGCCUGGGAGGGUGACGCUGCAGUGAGCCAAGAUGGCACCACUGCACUCCAGUCCAGCCUGGGUGAUAG
ensembl:lncRNA LINC01511 long intergenic non-protein coding RNA 1511